AGGCAGCAGGCGCGUAAAUUACCCAAUCCUGAUUCAGGGAGGUAGUGACAAGAAAUAACAACCUGGGGGAAUUUAUUCCUUACGGGAUUGCAAUGAGAACAAUUUAAACGACUUAUCGAGGAACAAUUGGAGGGCAAGUCUGGUGCCAGCAGCCGCGGUAAUUCCAGCUCCGUUAGCGUAUAUUAAAUUUGUUGCAGUUAAAAAGCUCGUAGUUGAAUUUCUGGUAGGAGUGACCUGGCCUUUGACGAAUGUCAAUGUUUGCUGUGUGUCAUCUCUGGCCAUCCUCGGCCUGCUUUUAGUAGGCCGUCAUUUACUGUAAAAAAAUUAGAGUGUUUCAAGCAUUUUGUAUGAAAAGAAUAUAUUAGUAUGGAAUAAUAAGAUAGGACUUUGGUGCUAUUUUGUUGGUUUGCACACCAAAGUAAUGAUGAAUAGGGACAGUUGGGGGUAUUCGUAUUUAAUUGUCAGAGGUGAAAUUCUUGGAUUUAUGAAAGACGAACUACUGCGAAGGCAUUUACCAAGGAUGUUUUCAUUGAUCAAGAACGAAAGUAUGGGGAUCGAAGAUGAUUAGAUACCAUCGUAGUCUAUACUUCAAACUAUGCCGACUUGCGAUUGUCUGGUGGUGUUUUUUGGCCCCAGGCAGCAGCACAUGAGAAAUCAAAGUCUUUGGGUUCCGGGGGGAGUAUGGUCGCAAG
rnacentral:rRNA from 1 species